rnacentral:rRNA from 1 species
CGCGCUGCUUAGCUAGUUGGUAAGGUAACGGCUUACCAAGGCAACGAUGCAUAGCCGACCUGAGAGGGUGAUCGGCCACACUGGAACUGAGACACGGUCCAGACUCUACGGGAGGCAGCAGUAGGGAAUCUUCCGCAAUGGGCGAAAGCCUGACGGAGCAACGCCGCGUGAGUGAUGAAGGUCUUCGGAUCGUAAAACUCUGUUAUUAGGGAAGAACAUAUGUGUAAGUAACUGUGCACAUCUUGACGGUACCUAAUCAGAAAGCCAGGCUAACUCGUGC